CAUCGUCGAGUUAGCUAGUUAGCUAGCUAGCUUUUCUGAUUUUCGAUUAAAUUGUUAACUUCGCCGUGUAAUUUCUACCAUAACAGCGAAUCUAUCUUGUUCAGGCAGUUUUGCGCAUUUUUUGUUGAGACCUAAGAAUUCUUUCACUCUUUUCAUUGUGUUUUGUGUAAAAAAAUUGGUUUAAAAUUUUUUGUUGGUAAAUUAAAAACAUUAGGAGAUCAUUUGCAAGGGGUCCAGAGAUUUCGACUGCCUACAGGGGCCUCCACAGGAUUUAAUCCGGCACUGAUAACCACUAAAUACAUUUUCUAAACAUUUUGACACUGGUCCGACUAACCUAAACAUAAGGCCAGCUACUUAAUGCCGAAUAAAUGCUAAACGCGAGGAGAAUCAGGACUUUCAUGAUCGCGGUUUGAUUGAAAACCAGCUUUCAAUCACGAAGUUGUGAAAAACGUUGAUUCGAACAAAAACAAUAGGGUUAACCUUGACUGAAACAUUCAUAUACUGUAACGUUGCAGGAGUAACACCUGCCGUUAGGACGAGCACCUCACGAUAGGACAAAUUUGCAGUAAAGGAAGUUGAUGGUUGAGAGAAGAAGGGACGCUUUCAUGCCUAUGACACAUAAAAUCGUUUAAUGUAAAUUGUAACAUGCAAUACCGGUAUGGUUCACACCAAAAUACGAUUUCUGACAGUCCACGCAAUUUACAAACGUCCCUUGUUAUGCUCCGCUGUAUACGCUCCAAGCUGUCCACCGAUUACAGAGACAGACGAACUUCAGAUCAGCAGGUGUAGACUCCCUUGAACUCUCCGAUGUUCCCUCGACACUGAGGAAGAGACAGGAGGCAUGUGUUUCUCCAGCCUGCUUCAGUGAGAGUUUUAAAUAAUACCACAACCUCAACUGUCCUCCCUGAUGUACAGACCACAGCGUCCUUAGUCAGAAAUGCAGCAGCUUCUGACUGACACAUGCGGGAAUGAAGAACCUGUGUCUGAAACAUCCUGCAUCUCCUGCUUCUAUGGAAACUUUGUGUAAUUUAUUACAGUUUUGAAUCUCUACUUUUUUACUAUAGUACAUUCCAGUACAUUGCUAAAUAUAUGAGAGAGAUUCAAAAUCCAUCAGCAGCAGUGUAUAUAUAUUUAGAUUUCAAUAGUAUAUAUAUUUUAGAUUAAU